rnacentral:rRNA from 1 species
GACGAACGCUGGCGGCGUGCCUAACACAUGCAAGUCGACAUGAGUGGCGAAGGGGUGAGUAAUACGUGGGUACCCUGCCCUCCUUUUUGGGAUAAGCCUUGGAAACGGGGUCUAAUCCCGAAUAAAGGGGGCUGGGCUCGCGGCCUAUCAGCUUGUUGGAGGGGUACUGGCAUACCAAGGCGGUGACGGGUAGCCAGCAUGUGCGGCGAACCUGCAACAGUGGAACUGAGCAGCGGCCCAGACUCCUACGGGAUGCAGCAGUUUGCGAUAUGGCAGAAUGGGCGAAAGACUGAUGCAGCGUGGCCGCGGGGGGGAUUAGGGCUGUCGGGUUGUAAACCUCGGUAGCUAUCGAACGGGUAGGUGGAGAAGAAGCGCCGGCUAACUACGUGCCAGCAGCCGCGGUAAUAC